GGACCAUGUUUUCCCAAGGAAGCAGGAGCAGCAACACAAAAAUUCUCACCAUAUUUAUGCUAAACUUCAAGAAGAGGAACAACAUAAAAUGUGAGAGCACAUGCUAAAGGAUAGAGAACAUUCAAAAGACAAAAGACCUUCAAUUGGACACCCAGUAACGAGUUGCAAGGAAAAACCUCCAAAGAUGGCAUGAAAGAAAACAUUCCAAGGCUGAGAUUUGACAGCAUAACACAAGAAGGCAAUUGCACUUGACCAACUUGAAACCCCUAUGGACGCCUAGAAAGUUCAGCAACAGAAAGAAGCAAGAGGGGAUGAGUGUUUGCAGCUCUGUCUCGCAGCCAUGGCACUGAGAAGGAACUAAGUGGCAUUCACAUCUCAGCAAUUCUUUGCUAUAUGGUAGAAAACAUGCUGACAUUCAUUGGCACUGAGUCCUAGAAGAUGUAGCUGGCCAAAAGAUUUCAGCCUGAAGGAAACCAUGUGCAACACUUUUGGGAGAACAUACCAGUCAUCACUCAGGAAAAAACUGCUUCUCAGAUGAUAUCACAGUCAGUCUUUAUUGCCUAUUGUUUGGAGAUAAAUAGCUGUUUUUCUCUAAUGAGACAUGAUAAGUGACUUUCAGGGCUUUCCCCAGGAAA